CCAGAGGGUCGGCCAAUCGCUUUGAUGUGCAAGCAUUGAGGAGGAAAGUCCGGGCUCCACGAUUUAGAGGUGCCGGAUAACGUCCGGCGGGCAGGGGAGUGAUCGCCUGUUCAGGGAUAGUGCAACAGAAAGCAGGUCGCAACGCCUUUGGGCAUGUGACGAUGAAAGGGUGCGGUAAGAGCGCACCGCGGGUCUGGCAACAGGUCUGGCACGGUAAACCCCACCUGGAGCAAAACCAAAUAGGGGCGGCUCAUGGCGAAUUCGGCCUGCUGCCCGGGUUGGUUGCUUGAGCUGCGCAGCAAUGCACAGCCUAGAUGAAUGAUUGGCUAUCUCGCGCCAUCUUUUGAUUGGAGCGGGAGGACAGAACCCGGCUUACAGACCCUCUGGAAUU
rnacentral:RNase_P_RNA from 1 species